rnacentral:rRNA from 1 species
AUUGAACGCUGGCGGCAUGCUUUACACAUGCAAGUCGAACGGUAACAGGGAAAAGCUUGCUUUUCUGCUGACGAGUGGCGAACGGGUGAGUAAUACAUCGGAACGUGCCCUGUAGUGGGGGAUAACUACUCGAAAGAGUGGCUAAUACCGCAUACAACCUGAGGGUAAAAGUGGGGGACCGCAAGGCCUCACGCUAUAGGAGCGGCCGAUGGAAGAUUAGGUAGUUGGUAGGGUAAAGGCCUACCAAGCCGACGAUCUUUAGCGGGUCUGAGAGGACGAUCCGCCACACUGGGACUGAGACACGGCCCAGACUCCUACGGGAGGCAGCAGUGGGGAAUUUUGGACAAUGGGGGCAACCCUGAUCCAGCAAUGCCGCGUGAGUGAAGAAGGCCUUCGGGUUG